GGACGAACGCUGGCGGCGUGCUUAACACAUGCAAGUCGAACGAGAAUCUGCGGAAAGAGGAUUCGUCCAAUUGAAGCAGAGGACAGUGGCGGACGGGUGAGUAACGCGUGAGGAACCUGCCUUUCAGAGGGGGGACAACAGUUGGAAACGACUGCUAAUACCGCAUAAGCGCACAGUAUCACAUGAUACAGUGUGAAAAACUCCGGUGGUAUGGGAUGGAUCCGCGUCUGAUUAGCCAGUUGGCGGGGUAACGGCCCACCAAAGCGACGAUCAGUAGCCGACCUGAGAGGGUGACCGGCCACAUUGGGACUGAGACACGGCCCAGACUCCUACGGGAGGCAGCAGUGGGGAAUCUUCCGCAAUGGACGAAAGUCUGACGGAGCAACGCCGCGUGAACGAUGACGGCCUUCGGGUUGUAAAGUUCUGUUAUACGGGACGAAUGGUAUGACGGUCAAUACCCGUCGUAAGUGACGGUACCGUAAGAGAAAGCCACGGCUAACUACGUG
rnacentral:rRNA from 1 species